ensembl:lncRNA
GAAAAUAUAUCGGGGGCUAUGUUCAAACACUACAACAGUGCUUGACCGGCAUGGGGAGCCUCGGUGACAAGGGGCAGAAUGAGGCGCACUGUCUGUGGGCCCUGUGCUCCCAUCCGUGCUGUUGGGAGGCUGAGCAGCGCAUUGCUAAAGGCAUUUAUAGCGGAACUGUGAAGAAACCCACUGAACAAUGCACUGCUGUCCAUGAAAGUUUUCCGUCUCUGACCGUGGUCAAUGCUUCAGAAUGGACUGGCUUGAGGAGGCAUUCUGAAGAAAAGCUGUUUUAUAAAACAGUCAGUUCAGACAGCUCAGUAUCUGAAGGAUCUCUGCACAGUAUUACCUGUCCUCCAGUACUUCCACAGAAAGUGUCCACACAGAGGUUUAAAAGUGCAGAAUCAGCCUUCAGCUCAGUAUAUCCAGCAGCACAACCUACAGCUGCAAAAGGAGUAAAACUAAACAAAGCUCAUAUCAGCCCUGAUCUAAAUGGCUCAGACUCACCACUGGGAACGUCUUCUCUGGUUUUAUGGGUCCCAAACCCACACUAUACACCUCAGUGUCUUAAAAAAAGAUCAAACCUUCCACAAUGUGCAGUGAAGGAGUUAAUCUGCCUUCCUGCUUGUCCAGUGCAGAAUGCUUCUGAAGAGAAAAAAAAGCUCAAGAGUGUGAAGAAGAGGGUGAUCUUUCAGCAAGCCUGUUCACCCCUAAAUAAAGCCAGGCUGACAUUUUCAUGCCAGCCUGAUUCAGCCUCAAACCAGAGCCGCAGCGGAGAAGGGCAAAGGUUUGACAACAGGGGGGCAAACACAGGACCCUCAUCAGCAACCUUGGAGAACAGAGUGAGUCCAAAAGAAGGAAAGAAGAGUCCAUUGAUUUUAAGGAAUAGACCUGUGCUCCUCCACGCCAAGCGAGAACGAGGGGGGAAGAGAGUGAGCAUGGAUGCCCUGAAAUCUCCCUACAAAUUGGACAGCAAGACAGGUGGAGAGAGUAUAGAAUGGGACCGGUUGAGGAGGCAGGCCUACCUGUGGAAGAGGCAUAAUUCCCUUCAGCACAAAGACUGCAGUGUCUCAGGUGAUCCUCCAGGGGGAGCCAGUGUACUUCUGGUAGACAGUGGUUUGUGUCCUGUUUCUUCAGUGAGAUCACAUCACAACCUCCAGAGCCCACUGUCUGUAUCUCCUGCUGCAUGGCACUGUACAAAAGGCAUUUGGCACUAUCAGAAAAGCAGCCAGCCACCACUGUCUCAGAGCAAGUACCUCCACCACAGCACAGCUUCAGAGGCUGAGGCACUCUCCACUGACUGCAGUAGCUCUGGUGUCGCAGACCACAGAGCCUCUAUACAGAUGCCAGGCACAGAUGAAAAGAGUGUGAAAGAGAAAGGCAUUAAAGGCAUCAUCACUCUGACUAACUCACUGCUCCACUGCCAGCAAUCAAACCAGGAGCACCCCGACAAUAUGAGUAAGCGUUCAGUGGUCAAGGUUGAUGACAACUUCCCAGAGAAGUUAAACCACAGUUCAAAAAGCAGCUUGACACUCGUCACUGGAGCAGAGGAACCCUGGAGUGAAAGCAGCUCCACUGAGAAAGGACCAGAACCCAAAGCCUACCAACCUGUUCACACACAACCUAUAGAGAGGAAUGGAGCAGUUGCAUUAAUGGACAGGGUAGCAUGGUAACCAGGCAGAGAAUGACGUCUCUACAGCAUCUCCACGCUCUGAGGGGGCAGCUGAUCUCUGUCACACAAGGAGAGGGGUGCGUAAAUGUGUGUGUGUGUGUGUGUUUGCAUCUGAUCUUUAAAAUGUUUUGACCCAAUUACAGCUAGGGGAGGCCUAGGCCUGGGAUAAAGCCGUCUUUUGAUGGCCGUUGACUCAGGGAAAAAGUGAG